rnacentral:ncRNA from 1 species
UUAAAAGCUGGGAAAGGAAGCAGUACUCAAAAACCUUCUUUAGAGAAGCGGCGGUAGGUGCAAGUCGUUGAAGGGGAUUGCAGGAACUCGUCCUGGAGCUGUGUUCAGGUAACAAUGAACACCGGUGCGAACCGUUAAAGUCUUACGAGUGAAUUUGGAAAAUUGGGUGGUAUCACGGGAGCAGGCCUCUCGUCCCUUGG